rnacentral:rRNA from 1 species
GACGAACGCUGGCGGUGUGCUUAACACAUGCAAGUCGAACGGCAAGGCCCUGAUUUUUUGGGGUGACCGGGUGGCGAACGGGGGAGUAACACGUGAGUAACCUGCCCUUGUCUUUGGGAUAACUUCAGGAAACUGGGGCUAAGAUCGGACAGCAGCCGCCCUAGGAGGGAGGGGAGUGGAAAGUCUCGGCGGUCGUGGUUGGACUAGCGGCUUACGGGCUAGCUGGUGGGGUAGGGGCUGACCAAGGCUUUGACUGGUAGGCGGCCUGAGAGGGUGGCCGGCCACCUUGGUCCUGCGGUACGGCGCAGACUCCUACGGUAGACAGCGGUGGGGAAUAUUGCACAGUGGGCGGAAGCCUGAUGCAGCGACGCCGCGUUCGUGAUGACGGCCUUCUGGUUGUGAACCGCUUUCGCCUAUGACGAAGCGUUACUGACGGUAAUGGAUGAAUAAGCACCGGCUAACUACGUG